rnacentral:rRNA from 1 species
CUUUCUUUGCUGGCGACCGGCGCACGGGUGAGUGACACGUAUCCAACCUGCCCUUUACUCGGGGAUAGCCUUUCGAAAGAAAGAUUAAUACCCGAUAGCAUAAUGAUUCCGCAUGGUUUCAUUAUUAAAGGAUUCCGGUAAAGGAUGGGGAUGCGUUCCAUUAGGUUGUUGGUGGGGUAACGGCCCACCAAGCCUUCGAUGGAUAGGGGUUCUGAGAGGAAGGUCCCCCACAUUGGAACUGAGACACGGUCCAA